rnacentral:rRNA from 1 species
UACGUAGGGUGCGAGCGUUAAUCGGAAUUACUGGGCGUAAAGCGUGCGCAGGCGGUUCGUUAAGACAGAUGUGAAAUCCCCGGGCUUAACCUGGGAACUGCAUUUGUGACUGCAUGGCUGGAGUGCGGCAGAGGGGGAUGGAAUUCCGCGUGUAGCAGUGAAAUGCGUAGAUAUGCGGAGGAACACCGAUGGCGAAGGCAAUCCCCUGGGCCUGCACUGACGCUCAUGCACGAAAGCGUGGGGAGCAAACAGG